GAUGAAGAACGUAGUGAAAUGCGAUAAGUAGUGUGAAUUGCAGAAUUCAGUGAAUCAUCGAAUCUUUGAACGCACAUUGCGCCUUCUAGUAUUCUGGGAGGCAUGCCUGUUUGAGCGUCAUUAAACCUCUCUCAAGUAUGAUUACUUGGAUGUGAAGGAAGAGUACCUUAAACUUAAGGAGUGUUCUCCUUUGAAAUUGAUUAGCAGAUGGUAAUGUUAUUAAAUCCCUGAUGUUGUAAGAAAUAACAGUGGUUUUGUAGACUAUUAUCUAGCUUUAAAUUAUAAUUUUUAUUAUGGUUGACCUCAAAUCAGGUAAGGAUACCCGCUGAACUUAAGCAUAUCAAUAAGCGGAGA
rnacentral:misc_RNA from 1 species